rnacentral:tRNA from 1 species
GCCCCGGUAGCUCAGUUGGAUAGAGCAGCGGAUUUCUAAUCCGCCGGUCGGGGGUUCGAAUCCCUCCCGGGGCGCCA